CAGAGGCCUCAAGCGUUAGGCGGAAUCACUGGGCUUAAAGCGUGUGUAGGCGGAUCGUUAAGUGUCUUGUGAAAUCCCCCGGCUCACCCGGGGAACUGCUGGGCAUACUGGCGAUCUUGGGCCAACUAGGGGCAACUGGAACAAGCGGUGGAGCGGUGAAAUGCGUAGAUAUCGCUUGGAACGCCGAAGGUGAAAACAGGUUGCUGGGGUUGUGCCGACGCUGAGACACGAAAGCCAGGGGAGCAAACGGGAUUAGAUACCCCGGUAGUCCUGGCCCUAAACGAUGUCCACUAGAUUGCGGCGGGUUUGACCCCGUCGCGGUCGAAGCAAAAGUGUUAAGUGGACCGCCUGGGAAGUACGGUCGCAAGGCUA
rnacentral:rRNA from 1 species